ACUCCUACGGGAGGCAGCAGUGGGGAAUAUUGCACAAUGGGGGAAACCCUGAUGCAGCCAUGCCGCGUGUGUGAAGAAGGCCUGCGGGUUGUAAAGCACUUUCAGUUGGGAAGAUAAUGACGUUACCAACAGAAGAAGCACCGGCUAACUCCGUGCCAGCAGCCGCGGUAAUACGGAGGGUGCAAGCGUUAAUCGGAAUUACUGGGUCGUAAAGCGCACGUAGGCGGUUUACUAAGUCGGAUGUGAAAUCCCCGGGCUCAACCUGGAACUGCACCCGAUACUGGUAGACUAGAAUUUGGGAGAGGUGAGUGGAAUUUCUGGUGUAGCGGUGAAAUGCAUAGAGAUCGGAAGGAACACCAGUGGCGAAGGCGACUCACUGGACCAAAAUUGACGCUGAGGUGCGAAAGCGUGGGUAGCAAACAGGAUUAGAUACCCUGGUAGGAUAGCG
rnacentral:rRNA from 1 species